rnacentral:rRNA from 1 species
UAGGGAAUCUUCCACAAUGGACGCAAGUCUGAUGGAGCAACGCCGCGUGAGUGAAGAAGGUUUUCGGACCGUAAAGCUCUGUUGUUGGUGAAGAAGGAUAGAGGUAGUAACUGGCCUUUAUUUGACGGUAAUCAACCAGAAAGUCACGGCUAACUACGUGCCAGCAGCCGCGGUAAUCGUAGGUGGCAAGCGUUGUCCGGAUUUAUUGGGCGUAAAGCGAGCGCAGGCGGAAGAAUAAGUCUGAUGUGAAAGCCCUCGGCUUAACCGAGGAAUUGCAUCGGAAACUGUUUUCUUGAGUGCAGAAGAGGAGAGUAGAACUCCAUGUGUAGCGGUGGAAUGCGUAGAUAUAUGGAAGAAUACCAGUGGCGAAGGCGGCUCUCUGGUCUGCAACUGACGCUGAGGCUCGAAAGCAUGGGUAGCGAACAGGAUUAGAUACCCUGGUAGUCCAUGCCGUAAACGAUGAGUGCUAAGUGUUGGGAGGCUUCCGCCUCUCAGUGCCGCAGCUAACGCAUUAAGCACUCCGCCUGGGGGAGUACGACCGCAAGGUUGAAAC